rnacentral:rRNA from 1 species
CAAGACUCCUACGGGAGGCAGCAGUGGGGAAUAUUGCACAAUGGGGGAAACCCUGAUGCAGCAACGCAGCGUGGGUGAAGGAGCGUUUCGGCGCGGAAAGCCCUGUCAGCGGGGAAGAAGAAAGACGGUACCUGACGAAGAAGCCCCGGAUAACUACGUGCCAGCAGCCGCGGUAAUACGUAGGGUGCGAGCGGUAAUCGGAAUUACUGGGCGUAAAGCGCUCGUAGGCGGUAUGUCAAGUCAAGGGUGAAAUCCCCGCGCUCAACGUGGGAACUGCCUUUGAAACUGGCAAACUGGAGUGUGUGAGAGGAUAGUGGAAUUCCAGGUGUAGGAGUGAAAUCCGUAGAUCUCUGGAGGAACAUCAGUGGCGAAGGCGACUAUCUGGCACAUAACUGACGCUGAGGAGCGAAAGCGUGGGUAGCAAACAGGAUUAGAUACCCGUGUAC